GCGGAGCCGAAGGUCGAGACCCCUCACGAGGCCCUCGGUGCUGCGAACGUACUGCAGGUCCCUCAGGGUCCGCAAUUCCAGCUGCUCCAGGGACUGGGACAUGUUCUGAACCUGCCAGGGGAUGGGAAAAUCAGGGAUUAGGGGAUCCCAUCCCAUCCCAUCCCAUCCUGCAGGUCCCUCAGGGUCCGUAAUUCCAGCUGCUCCAGGGACUGGGACAUGUUCUGAACCUGCCAGGGGAAAUUUGGGAUUAGGGAGUUGGGAUCCCAGUGUUCCCAUCCCAGUGUUCCCAUCCCAUC